rnacentral:rRNA from 1 species
GAUGAACGCUGGCGGCGUGCCUAAUACAUGCAAGUCGAGCGAACAGACGAGGAGCUUGCUCCUCUGACGUUAGCGGCGGACGUGUGAGUAACACGUGUAUAACCUCCCUAUAAGACUGGGAUAACUUCGGGAAACCGGAUCUAAUACCGGAUAAUAUCUUGAACCGCAUGGUUCAAUAGUGAAAGACGGUUUUGCUGUCACUUAUAGAUGGAUCCGCGCCGCAUUAGCUAGUUGGUAAGGUCACGGCUUACCAAGGCAACGAUGCGUAGCCGACCUGAGAGGGUGGUCGGCCACACUGGAACUGAGACAGGGUCCAGACUCCUACGGGAGGCAGCAGUAGGGAAUCUUCCGCAAUGGGCGAAAGCCUUACAGAGCAACGCCGCGUGAGUGAUGAAAGUCUUCGGAUCGUAAAGCUCUGUUAUUAGGUAAGAACAAAUGUGUAAGGAACUGUGCACGUCUUGACGGUACCUAAUCAGAAAGCCACGGCUAACUACGUG